rnacentral:rRNA from 1 species
UAGGGAAUAUUGCACAAUGGACGAAAGUCUGAUGCAGCAACGCCGCGUGUGUGAUGAAGGCCCUCGGGUCGUAAAACACUUUUAUGAAGGAAGAGAAAGGACGGUACUUCAUGAAUAAGGAUCGGCUAACUACGUGCCAGCAGCCGCGGUAACACGUGGGAUCCAAGCGUUAUCCGGAUUUACUGGGCGUAAAGCGCGUGUAGGCGGUUUGAUAAGUUGGAUGUGAAAGCUCCGAGCUUAACUCGGAGAGGUCGUUCAAAACUAUCAAACUAGAGGACGGUAGAGGGAGGUGGAAUUCCGGGUGUAGUGGUGAAAUGCGUAGAUAUCCGGAGGAACACCAGUGGCGAAGGCGGCCUCCUGGCCCGUUCCUGACGCUCAGACGCGAAAGCUAGGGUAGCAAACGGGAUUAGAAACCCCGGUAGUCCUAGCCGUAAACGAUGUGAACUUGGUGUUGGAGGUGUUAAAACCUGCAGUGCCGCAGCUAACGCGAUAAGUUCACCGCCUGGGGACUACGAUCGCAAGGUUA